rnacentral:lncRNA from 1 species
CCACCUGCUCUCUGGCUGCCGCCCCGCGGCCACACAGAGAUGAUGUUCCUUUCACCUGGCCGAAGCCGGGGUUAGGGUCGGGGUCUGGAUGACCAGCACCACUCACAAACGCAGGCAGCCCCUCUGGGUCCGUGGCUGCCGGGGUCUUAGCUGGUAUUUGGACUAGACCCAGAGCGAAGAGGUGACUGUCGCUUUAACAAACCCUCUGGAAUCUCAGCUGGGACCUGGAAGGUGCUGAAAGAGCCAACCCACGCGCCUGCGUAUAGGCUGGUUGAGAGGCCCACCUCUCCCUCAUUGGCGCUAGGCCUCAACUGAGUCAUUGCUUUGUCACCGCCUUUCCCAGCGUGAAGAGGAGCAGGCAGAGCGUGAUCAGAAAGGCCAGGCCAAUGAGAAAUCGAGGAGGGCAUCGGGGGCGCACGUGCUCAGAACUCUGAUUGGAGGAUGGAAGGCACCGGCCCGGGAAAGGACCAAUGAAAAGAAGUACAAUAAAGACACUUUCAUUGAACUCCUCAUUUAUGCCUAUUAUGCAAGGAUGAUGUUCAGCAAACUUUAUGACAGAGGGAAACAGCUGGUAAAGUGGGUUCAUGGAAAGGUGAAGGGAGGAUAUAUUUUGAUGUUAUUCCACUCCUCACCCUCUGUUCCCAGGAAGGUGGUUGUAGAGGUUCAAUGACAGUCAGAACUAGCCACAAGGAAUACAAGGGCUAAGCUGAAACCUGCUGCUCCACAUGUUGGAAAGGAAGAAGAAAAGUCAAACACUUAGAGAAAGCCUCCUCAAAUCAACAAAAAGGAGAGAAAAUAGAGAGAGGGGAAGAAACAGAAGAGCCUCUGUUUCAUAGUCUUCCAGGAAUAAGGAUAAAAAAAAAACAAACCUGACAUAGAACAUGCCUCCUGUCCUAUAAAAAUGAAAUGAAAGAAUGAGUUUAAGCCUUAUAUCUUCAAGGCCCAUUUGUUAGAUCC